ACAAUAGAACCGAUAAAGGUCACCUCCACAGAACUCGAUCAGAUCGUCAACAUGAGGAUCCCUCUUUUUUUCAUCACGUUAUGUAUAGCAUUACAAGGUGUGUUGAGUUGUCCGGAGGGUUUCGAGAGACAUAGAUACCGUUGUUACAAGGUGUUCGCGGACCAUGUCACGUGGAUCGACGCCAAGGAAUACUGUAAGAUAUACGGUGCCGACCUGUUGGAGGUAGAAUCGGCAGCGGAGGAAUCUACUAUAGAAGGCAUGCUGAGGAGGCUCCAUGGUAGUGUUGGGAAGGAGGUUUACUGGACAGAUGGAGUGGAUCUCCUCACUGAGGGGAAUGGCGCUGGGCCGGGCAGGCCGGGGAGUCACGCUUAAUACAGGGAUACACACAUUGGGCUGAUGACCAACCUGACAACGCUGACGGGGGAGAAGGCUGUUUGGAGAUCAGAGCAGAAUUUGGGUUUGAAUGGAACGAUGAUCAGUGUUGGGAAAAAAAGGCCUUCAUCUGCGAAUCCCAAUACGAAACCGGACAGAUUUCAGUCAUCGGUUAGGAGAAGAGUGAUGAUCAAGGGAGACAAUCCACAACUGAGACUGUCCUUGUUUAACUCGAUACAAACCUAAAGUGAAAACCACAUUUCAGCCAAUAAAUAUAGACACGAC